rnacentral:lncRNA from 1 species
GAGUUCUGUCCCAGUCUGUUGCAGUUGCAUUUCAGAACUUAAAAGAUUUCCACAGAAGCGACUGCCUGUCUAGCAGAUACUGAAUGCGACAGUUCUUUAUUUGGGACAGCGACCAGUUGAAGCCCUGUGGAUGUUAUCAAAGGAGGAAGAGAAUUCAGCAGCCAUAAAUGCUUUGGAGAUUGCAAAGGCAAAUUACAUCCUGUGAUUUCAGGAAAACAGGAUGUGGGUUGACAGAAUCAAGCAUGGAACUUUCCUACUCAAAAUGAGUCAGGGGGCAAGACGUGAUCAAAGUCAGGAAGUAAAUAAAGGACUGGCCUCUCCUUCUAACUGGCCCCAAAGCAACUUGGACCUAGAAAGUGAAAUUCAAAGUACUGUCUUCUUUGUAUUUCAAAUGAUUUUCUUUGUCUGCUUCAUCAGCUACAACAGAUAGAAGUUAGACUGGAAGUAAAACAUGACAUACUGAC